UACGUAGGGUGCGAGCGUUGUCCGGAAUUAUUGGGCGUAAAGAGCUCGUAGGCGGUGUGUCACGUCGGCCGUGAAAACUCGGGGCUUAACCCCGGGCCUGCAGUGGGUACGGGCAGACUAGAGUGCGGUAGGGGAGACUGGAAUUCCUGGUGUAGCGGUGAAAUGCGCAGAUAUCAGGAGGAACACCGGUGGCGAAGGCGGGUCUCUGGGCCGUAACUGACGCUGAGGAGCGAAAGCGUGGGGAGCGAACAGG
rnacentral:rRNA from 1 species